CACGUAGGGUGCGAGCGUUGUCCGGAAUUAUUGGGCGUAAAGAGCUCGUAGGCGGUGUGUCGCGUCGGCCGUGAAAACCUGCAGCUUAACUGUGGGCGUGCGGUCGAUACGGGCAUCACUGGAGUUCGGCAGGGGAGACUGGAAUUCCUGGUGUAGCGGUGGAAUGCGCAGAUAUCAGGAGGAACACCGGUGGCGAAGGCGGGUCUCUGGGCAGUAACUGACGCUGAGAAGCGAAAGCGUGGGGGAGCGAACAGG
rnacentral:rRNA from 1 species